AUACACUGGAGCGGAGGGAGUUGCCAUGGAAACGGGGCAGAUGACAACAUUCACUACUGACAAGCUGCUUGUUCCGUGUCUCACUGCUGUUUUCACUGCUUUUGAUCGGCUUAAAGAAUUUCCCUCCUCUCGCCGCUUCACUCUCCAGUCCAGCGGGUGGCGCUAAAACACAUAUGUUUGUUUGACAAACACCAUUAAACCUCAGAGGAAGAAGUUCAGUUUCACCGUGCUCUCUGUUGUUUUGUUGUUAUGCUGGCUUAAUACAAACUGUUAGAAUAGUUGUUUCUGUUAGUAGAGAGACACAGUUUUUUUUAAUCAGGUCAAUAAAUACCUGUAAUAUUCUCGUCCUCACAGUCGUGACUAAGUUUUGAAGUUGAUAAUAUCAGGAGGAGUAUCAUCUGAACUGAGAUCUGCUGCUGUGAAGAUGGAGUUUGUUAAAGAAGAGAGUGAAGAGAACACGAGUGAACCAGAAACCUGGAGAAUAAAACACGAGGAACCAGAAACCCUGAGAAUAAAACACGAGGAACCCGAAACCCUGAGAAUAAAACACGAGGAACAAGGAGAGUUAACUGAAGUAAAUGAGGAGAAUGAAGAACUGAGUGAAGUUGAAGAGAGAAAUCAUAUUAAAACGGGAGAAAAUCCUCCAAGUUGCUAUCAAAGAAAAAAAAUGUCAAGAAAAAAUUGUCUUGAUGUUCACAUGAAACUGCACGCUUGUGAUCAGUGCGGGAAGAAUUACACACGAAAAGAACACCUUACAGCACACAUGAGAGUUCAUACUGGAGAGAAACUGUUUUCUUGUGAUCAGUGCGGGAAGAGUUUUGCACUAAAAGGACUACUUACAGCACACAUGAGAGUUCAUACUGGAGAGAAACCAUUUACUUGUGAUCAGUGCGGGAAAAGUUUCACACAAUUAGCACAUCUUAAUGCACACAUAAAUGUUCACACUAGAGAGAAACAGUACGCAUGUGAUCAAUGUGACAAAAUGUUUUUGAGGGCUUCACACCUGAAGCAACACCUGAGAGUUCAUACAAAAGAGAAACCACAUUCAUGUCAUUUGUGUGGAAAGAGUUUUUCACGUCUACAACAUUUGAAAGAGCAUCAGAAAAUACACACUGCUGUGAGAGAGUACAUGUGCUUUAAGUGUGAAAAGACUUUUACUCAAGCGACCAGUUUAAAACUGCAUGAGAGGAUUCACACUGGAGAAAAACCUUACAAGUGUUCACACUGUGACCAGAGAUUCAGU